ACUCAGGUGUUGUUGGGUAGGGGAGCGUUCUGUAAGCCUGCGAAGGUGGCCUGUGAGGGUUGCUGGAGGUAUCAGAAGUGCGAAUGCUGACAUAAGUAACGAUAAAGCGGGUGAAAAGCCCGCUCGCCGGAAGACCAAGGGUUCCUGUCCAACGUUAAUCGGGGCAGGGUGAGUCGACCCCUAAGGCGAGGCCGAAAGGCGUAGUCGAUGGGAAACGGGUUAAUAUUCCCGUACUUGGUGUUACUGCGAAGGGGGGACGGAGAAGGCUAUGUUGGCCGGGCGACGGUUGUCCCGGUUUAAGCGUGUAGGUGUGUGUUCCAGGUAAAUCCGGUUCACUUUAACACUGAGGCGUGACGACGAGGCACUACGGUGCUGAAGCAACAAAUGCCCUGCUUCCAGGAAAAGCCUCUAAGCAUCAGGUAACAUCAAAUCGUACCCCAAACCGACACAGGUGGUCAGGUAGAGAAUACCAAGGCGCUUGAGAGAACUCGGGUGAAGGAACUAGGCAAAAUGGUGCCGUAACUUCGGGAGAAGGCACGCUGACACGUAGGUGAAGUGAUUUACUCAUGGAGCUGAAGUCAGUCGAAGAUACCAGCUGGCUGCAACUGUUUAUUAAAAACACAGCACUGUGCAAACACGAAAGUGGACGUAUACGGUGUGACGCCUGCCCGGUGCCGGAAGGUUAAUUGAUGGGGUCAGCGCAAGCGAAGCUCCUGAUCGAAGCCCCGGUAAACGGCGGCCGUAACUAUAACGGUCCUAAGGUAGCGAAAUUCCUUGUCGGGUAAGUUCCGACCUGCACGAAUGGCGUAAUGAUGGCCAGGCUGUCUCCACCCGAGACUCAGUGAAAUUGAACUCGCUGUGAAGAUGCAGUGUACCCGCGGCAAGACGGAAAGACCCCGUGAACCUUUACUAUAGCUUGACACUGAACAUUGAGCCUUGAUGUGUAGGAUAGGUGGGAGGCUUUGAAGUGUGGACGCCAGUCUGCAUGGAGCCGACCUUGAAAUACCACCCUUUAAUGUUUGAUGUUCUAACGUGGACCCGUGA
rnacentral:rRNA from 1 species